GCGUUUUUAGCUCAGUGGUAGAGCGUUGCCACUUGUAUAUCAUUGCUCAUGGCUUCAUAGGUAGUACAAUGGAUAGUACAAUGCAAAGGGUCAGUCGUUCAAUCCGGCUAGGAGGCA